CCUACGGGCGGCUUCAGUGAGGAAUAUUGGUCAAUGGACGAGAGUCUGAACCAGCCAAGUAGCGUGAAGGAUGACUGCCCUAUGGGUUGUAAACUUCUUUUAUAUGGGAAUAAAACGUUCCACGUGUGGGAUUUUGUAUGUACCAUAUGAAUAAGGAUCGGCUAACUCCGUGCCAGCAGCCGCGGUAAUACGGAGGAUCCGAGCGUUAUCCGGAUUUAUUGGGUUUAAAGGGAGCGUAGGUGGAUUGUUAAGUCAGUUGUGAAAGUUUGCGGCUCAACCGUAAAAUUGCAGUUGAAACUGGCAGUCUUGAGUACAGUAGAGGUGGGCGGAAUUCGUGGUGUAGCGGUGAAAUGCUUAGAUAUCACGAAGAACUCCGAUUGCGAAGGCAGUUCACUGGACUGCAACUGACACUGAGGCUCGAAAGUGUGGGUAUCAAACAGGAUUAGAUACCCCUGUAGUC
rnacentral:rRNA from 1 species